UACACGGAGAGCCCUCAAGGUGAUAUCUUCAAGGUUUCCAAUUGGAGUUCCCACCAAAUAUAAACCAGGUUUCAGAGGUCCACGUUUUGGCGACUCUUCGGAGAUUGAAUCAGUGAGUUCGGGAGAAAUAUGAGAGCUAAAACAGAAGGAAAGCGGGGCAAUUCUAGGGUAAGCGGAGAUUGAUUUCAGGGAUAUAAGGUCAG
rnacentral:misc_RNA from 1 species